rnacentral:rRNA from 1 species
CUGCUAUCGGGGUUCGACUAAGCCAUGCGAGUCGAGAGGUGAAAGACCUCGGCGAACUGCUCAGUAACACGUGGAUAACCUGCCCUGAGGAGGGGGAUAACUCCGGGAAACUGGGGAUAAUACCCCAUAGGCUACCGAAGCUGGAAUGCUCGGUAGCCCAAAGCUCCGGCGCCUCAGGAUGGGUCUGCGGCCGAUUAGGUUGUUGUUGGGGUAACGGCCCAACAAGCCUGUAAUCGGUACGGGUUGUGAGAGCAAGAGCCCGGAGAUGGAUUCUGAGACAUGAAUCCAGGCCCUACGGGGCGCAGCAGGCGCGAAAACUUUACAAUGCGAGCAAUCGUGAUAAGGGGACCCCGAGUGCCAGGUUACAAAUCUGGCUGUCGAGAUGCCUAAAAAGCAUUUCAAAGCAAGGGCCGGGCAAGACCGGCGCCAGCCGCCGCGGUAACACCGGCGGCUCGAGUGGUAACCGCUAUUAUUUGGUCUAAAGGGUCUGUAGCCGGCCG